rnacentral:lncRNA from 10 species
CAAGUUAAUCAAACUACAGCCACCAGGACAAGAAGAAGACAACAUCUGGGGUAGACUGCUUUCUCCCAAGAUACCAGAGCAGAUAUCUGCAUGAGACCCUCACCAGGAUCGUGCUGACCCAAGACCUUGAGACUUUAGACUCAUUCCAGCUGGAAACGGAAGCCAGCUUAAGCCAAGAGAUGUUAAUUCAUAUUUAACAGGUGCCUGAGUGCCUCUCAUAAGUAAAUGGCUCUAGUUGCUCAGUUGAUCACUGCCUUGUCAAAGGAUCUCUGCACGGGACUAGAAGAAUCUGGAACAGGUUGCCAGCCACUCUAGCACGAUGAUGGGAUGCAACCAACCUAAUCAAUCAUCAGUGCUGUCUGCUGACAGGUUUUGAUAAACGGGGGGCGUGGGGGGAAUGUGAACCUUGAAAGAGCCAAUCCCUCGGAUGAAUCCUGAGUGGCUAAUAGCCUAAUUUCAAAAGAGCCAAGUGGCCAUUUGCUUACUAGAGGUCGCACACAUACUUGGAGUUCCUGGAAAACCUGCAUGUCUGCUUAGGGGCUUUCAUAGCUGCCUGUUCAUGUUUGUGCUGCCUGAGCCAACCAAUAGACUGUGACCUAUGUCAACCAAUCAGAACUCAGCAAGUGUUGACCAAUCAGAACUCACCAAACAUCAACCGGUCAGAACUAAGCAAGUUUGAAUCCUUUAUUUGACUAAGUGGACCUGAGUGGAACCUGGAUGGGAUCUUUCACUAUAAAAGAAAAACCUUCCCUUUGCUCUCUGGAACGUACCUUCAUUUUACACUGAAGGCUGUGUCUCUUCGGUUUGCCAACUGUUACUGGAAUAAAGUCUCUUUCCUC